UACGUAGGUGGCAAGCGUUAUCCGGAUUUAUUGGGCGUAAAGGGAACGCAGGCGGUCUUUUAAGUCUGAUGUGAAAGCCUUCGGCUUAACCGGAGUAGUGCAUUGGAAACUGGGAGACUUGAGUGCAGAAGAGGAGAGUGGAACUCCAUGUGUAGCGGUGAAAUGCGUAGAUAUAUGGAAGAACACCAGUGGCGAAAGCGGCUCUUUGGUCUGUAACUGACGCUGAGGUUCGAAAGCGCGGGUAGCAAACAGG
rnacentral:rRNA from 1 species